CCGUUUUAUGACUUCUACCCUGAUCGUCCAGGAUCGCCAAUUUUUAGCAUCUGGUAUAAUAUUUGGUAUUGUAUCGGCGCGUUGCUUUUUCAGGGCCAAAGAGAAAUGCCUAUCGCUCUGAGUGGUCGAAUGGUAGUAGGUUUCUUUUGGCUUUUCAUGAUCGUAGUUUUAACUGCUUACUCAGGAAAUCUUGUCGCUUUUUUGACAUUCCCCACGUACACCAAUCCUAUCAACACUCUGCAGGAUCUGAUCGACAAUAAAGGCUCCCUUACUUGGGGCAUCCUUCGUGGUACGGCCCUAGA